rnacentral:rRNA from 1 species
UACAGAGGAUGCAAGCGUUAUCCGGAAUGAUUGGGCGUAAAGCGUCUGUAGGUGGCUUUUAAGUCCGCCGUCAAAUCCCAGGGCUCAACUCUGGACAGGCGGUGGAAACUACCAAGCUUGAGUACGGUAGGGCAGAGGGAAUUUCCGGUGGAGCGGUGAAAUGCGUAGAGAUCGGAAAGAACACCAACGGCGAAAGCACUCUGCUGGCCGACACUGACACUGAGAGACGAAAGCUAGGGAGCGAAUGG